UCNUGGGCGACAGCACUUGGAGGAUGUAUAGCGAAAGCUAGUUGCAUUAAAUUCGAUUAAUUCGAAGUUAAUGCAUCAUCGACUAUGUCGAAUAAAGUUCUAGAUAGAGUUAUGAUAAUGACAUUUUCUAUCUAUGUGUCUUGACCAAAUCACGUGCCAGCAGUCGCGGUAAUACGUGGAAGACUAGUGUUAUUCAUCUUUAAUAGGUUUAAAGGGUACUUAGACGGUAAAUUAAGCCCAGAUAAAAACAAAGGGUACUAAUUAUACUAGAGUUUGAUAAGAGGAGGGUGUGUACUAGUGGUGUAGAGAUGAAAUUCUGUCAUACCAUUAUGACAGGCAACGGCGAAAGCAACCUUUAGAAAAAAAAACUGACGUUAAAGGACGAAGGCUUUGUGUCACCAACAGGAUUAGAUACCCAAGCAGUCUUAGCAGACAAUUAUGAAUGCCAUAGAUAAGAAGCAACAGUACAUUUAUUUUUCUUUUUUUGGCAAUGGUUUAUUAAAAAAAAAUAAAGUAAAAAAAGAAAGAGGAUGGACAAUAUUAUCUCGAAAAGAUGAUUUUUUUUUAUCUUUUACAGAUGAUUUUUUUUGUCUAUAAAUGAAAGUGUAAGCAUUCCACCUCAAGAGUAAUGUGGCAACGCAGAAACUGAAAUCAUUAGACCGUUUCUGAAACCAGUAGUGAAGUAUGUUGUUUAAUUAGAUGGUCCGCAAAAAACCUUACCACAAUUUGUAUAUUAUUAGCUUAAUACAAGAGUUGCACGGCUGUCUUCAGUUAAUGUCGUGAGAUUUUGGUUAGUUCCAUUAAAUUAACGUAAACCCUUACUUUAUUUAUAUUAUAAAGUAGUUCACCGCUAGAUUGGAUAUGAUAAGAGGACUAAGACA
rnacentral:rRNA from 1 species